CCUACGGGAGGCAGCAGUGGGGAAUAUUGGUCAAUGGGCGCAAGCCUGACCCAGCAACGCCGCGUGAAGGAAGAAGGCUUUCGGGUUGUAAACUUCUUUUCUCAGGGACGAAGAAAGUGACGGUACCUGAGGAAUAAGCCACGGCUAACUACAUGCCAGCAGCCGCGGUAAUACGUAGGUGGCAAGCUUGAUCCGGAUUUACUGGGUGUAAAGGGCGUGUAGGCGGGUAAGCAAGUCAGAUGUGAAAACCACGGGCUCAACCUGUGGACUGCAUUUGAAACUGUUUUUCUUGAGUGCUGAAGAGGCAGACGGAAUGCCUAGUGUAGCGGUGAAAUGCGUAGAUAUCAGGAGGAACAC
rnacentral:rRNA from 1 species